AGAAAGCUGACGGGUUCGGCCCAAACCCAAUCAAUCCAAAAGCAACCAAAGCUUCCAACGAAGAAUCUUCAGGGUCGCAAUUCUGAGAGUCGAAAGUUCCUCUUCAAACCUCCAGUGUUCUUGCUGUGAUAAUUUGAUCAUUUUGGAGGAAAAAAAUGAGCAAAAAAGAACUGGAAGCAGAGAGUUAUUUCAGCAAAGACUUCAGUUGGGAUGAAUUGAGAGAAGAGGUAGAAAAUAAUCCCUCAUUUCAGUUCCAUUUGCACCCUUAUUCUUCAAAAAGGACUGCCAAUCAAAACCACAAUGCUCUGAAAAACGCUGAAGCUUGGGAUAAAUUUCAUGCAUGCCAUUCCAGUGGCAAGUUUUUCAAGGAGAGGCGAUACUUGUUAAAGGAGUUUCCUGAACUUGCUUCUUGUGGGGAAAAUAAAAAGGUUUUGGAGGUGGGAUGUGGUAAUGGCAGUACCAUUCUACCAAUAUUGCGUGGACAUGAGAGCAUCAUCGUAUAUGCCUGUGACUGUAGUGAUGAGGCUCUUGAGAGGACUAAAGAGAUAAUUGGGGCUGCUGAUUCAAUACCUGCUAAACAUCGAUUUCAUCCUUUCCUAUGGGACUUUUCCAACAGGUUUCCUUCAUGGUUGGCCUGCCAUUCUUGCUCUGGGACAUCUUCAGGUACAAACAGCAGGGAUGAGAUGGGCAUGCUUAAUCCAUCCUGCUAUAAUGAAAUCGAAUGCUGUAUUGGUGGAGUCGAUUUUGUUACAUUGAUAUUCACUUUAUCAGCCUUACCCGUUGAUAGGAUGCCUACAGCCAUUGCACAGUGCUUUGGUGUUUUAAAGCCUGGUGGCUUGCUGUUGUUCCGGGACUAUGGUCUUUAUGACAUGACCAUGCUUCGAUUCAAGGCUGAGCAACAGGUUGGAUACAGAGAGUACAUGCGUUCGGAAGAGACAAGAUCUUAUUUCUUCUGCUUGGAUACUGUUCGAAAUUUAGCUUCUGCUGCUGGCUUCAUUGAGGUUGAGCUUGAAUACUGCUGCGUGAAGUCGGUGAAUCGGAGGACAGGGAGGAUGAUGAAAAGGGUAUGGGUUCAUGGCAAGUUUCAGAAACCCGGUGGGGAAAUAGAAUAGAAUCCCUUCCUGCAAAAGAAUCAGAUUGCUCGUCGUUUUCCAUCACCUACCGCAGCGGCCUCCAUUCUUCCGGCGCCGUCGGUUUGUUUCAAGAAACUUCAGUGAUGUCAUUUAGCAGCUCAAAAUCAAAGUCCAGGGGCCGGGGAGAUCUUGACCUAAGGUAUCGAUGCCCACGAUGCAAGUGUGAGACUUUUGCGGCAAUCCGUGUCAUCGGUCCAACAAAGGAAACUCAAGAAAAAUUAUUUUGCAAUUGCCGAGUUGGAGCCUGUGAUUUUUUCCGUUGAUUUGAUCCUGUGAGCACUCGUGUUGGAGAGUGGAGCAAUGAUGAGGAUGAUGUGAAUGACUCAGAGGUUCAAUCUGUUGCAUUUGAGGGGGAGCUACUCAAAGAAACAAAGGGGGUUGCAGAUGAAAUGUCUAAACUGAAGGUGGUUGUAGAAGAACUACGUUCUGAAAUAAGAGUCUUCCGAACAAGACUGACGUAUGUGAAGCUUCUCAUGGUUGUUGUUACGGUGAUUACCAUAUCGAAGUCUUUUUUUAAGAAGUUGGUAUGUCUUCGACUCAUCGUGGUAUUGGUUCGUCUAUUGUCGUAGUAGCAGGGUAGAUUUCAGUGUAGCUGUAGGUGGGUGUAAUGUACCGGCGUCGUAGUAACAGCAGGGGUGAUAAAAUUGUGGCAGUAGCUGUAAUGUGUCUUCCUGAUUUGUAAUACAAUGCACCGUAAUGGU